rnacentral:rRNA from 1 species
UACGGAGGGAGCUAGCGUUGUUCGGAAUUACUGGGCGUAAAGCGCACGUAGGCGGCUUUGUAAGUUAGAGGUGAAAGCCCGGAGCUCAACUCCGGAAUUGCCUUUAAGACUGCAUCGCUUGAAUCCAGGAGAGGUGAGUGGAAUUCCGAGUGUAGAGGUGAAAUUCGUAGAUAUUCGCAAGAACGCCAGUGGCGAAGGCGGCUCACUGGCCCGGUACUGACGCUGAGGUGCGAAAGCGUGGGGAGCAAACAGG